AUUGGGGCAGUCAUAACAGUGGAUGUCGUCCUGCUGUUGUUGCCUCUUGUCCUUCAUCAAAGUAAAACUGAGAAAUGUGGUUUCAAGAGACAAAAAGGCAACAUCACAGAUGAGUGGAAAUCUGUGGCUGAUUAUAACGACACCUUCAGUAUCAUCACCUACAAUAGCAACACUG